rnacentral:rRNA from 1 species
GACGAACGCUGGCGGCGUGCCUAAUACAUGCAAGUAGAACGCUGAAGAGAGGAGCUUGCUCUUCUUGGAUGAGUUGCGAACGGGUGAGUAACGCGUAGGUAACCUGCCUUGUAGCGGGGGAUAACUAUUGGAAACGAUAGCUAAUACCGCAUAACAAUGGAUGACCCAUGUCAUUUAUUUGAAAGGGGCAAAUGCUCCACUACAAGAUGGACCUGCGUUGUAUUAGCUAGUAGGUGAGGUAACGGCUCACCUAGGCGACGAUACAUAGCCGACCUGAGAGGGUGAUCGGCCACACUGGGACUGAGACACGGCCCAGACUCCUACGGGAGGCAGCAGUAGGGAAUCUUCGGCAAUGGGGGCAACCCUGACCGAGCAACGCCGCGUGAGUGAAGAAGGGUUUCGGAUCGUAAAGCUCUGUUGUAAGUCAAGAACGAGUGUGAGAGUGGAAAGUUCACACUGUGACGGUAGCUUACCAGAAAGGGACGGCUAACUACGUG